UGAUGUGCAUAUUCCAUAAAUAUCUAACCUGUCUGAAAUGUUCCACUGUAUGAAAAGCAGGUCUGUGUGAGUUUGUGGUGUGUCUGACUGGCCUUCUCAAGCAUGCUGCUUUCCUGCCGGCUUGAGGACUGUAUCACUGCAUUGCAAAAUAUUCCAUCAGCAUAUCCCUGGAGGAGACAGCAGGUGGCUGUCUGCAUACUGUGGAGAGCAGGAGCACACUGCAUGAGCAACUGUUCCUGAACAGUCUCCUGCACGGUCUCUGGAAUGAGAAUAAACACAUUUCAUGCUAGUCUGCAGUUCCAAGUUGCACUGCAAGGUGGAUGAUGAGAAGGGAUUGUCACCAUGCAUCGACCAGGUGAUUGGCCUCAAGCUGGAGUUCGUUUGAGGCAUGGCAGCAUCAGUGAAACCAAAAAGGUCGGCAGGAGGCAACGAUGGAUAUCCUGAGGCUCAUCUCUUGGCUGGUUGGCCAGACACUGGAGUGCUUCAUGUACAAUGAGGGCUGUAUGCAGACUGUGGAGAGCAGGAGUGCCUGGCCUGACCAUAGUUCAAACAGAUAUUCCCUGAUGGAGCCUAGCCUGACAGUGACCUCACAUCACGGUAGCCAGCAGCUCAACGUUGUUCUGCAAGGAGAAUGACGCCAGGUUGUUCGC